UGCAAAGGCUCGUGAAAUUCUAUCCUUUC
rnacentral:piRNA from 1 species